UACGGAGGGUGCAAACGUUGCUCGGAAUCAUUGGGCGUAAAGCGCACGUAGGCGGUCGGCUAUGUCGGAUGUGAAAGCCUCGGGCUUAACCCGAGAAGGGCAUCCGAAACUGGCCGGCUUGAGUACGGAAGAGGGUCUCGGAAUUCCCGGUGUAGAGGUGAAAUGCGUAGAUAUCGGGAAGAACAUCGGUGGCGAAAGCGCUCUACUGGGCCAUAACUGACACUCAGGGACGAAAGCUAGGGGAGCGAAUGGG
rnacentral:rRNA from 1 species